GAUGAAGAACGUAGCGAAAUGCGAUAAGUAAUGUGAAUUGCAGAAUUCAGUGAAUCAUCGAAUCUUUGAACGCACAUUGCGCCCGUCAGUAUUCUGGCGGGCAUGCCUGUUCGAGCGUCAUUACGCCCCUCAAGUCCCCUGUGGACUUGGUGUUGGGGAUCGGCGAGGCUGGUUUUCCAGCACAGCCGUCCCUUAAAUUAAUUGGCGGUCUCGCCGUGGCCCUCCUCUGCGCAGUAGUAAAACACUCGCAACAGGAGCCCGGCGCGGUCCACUGCCGUAAAACCCCCCAACUUUUUAUAGUUGACCUCGAAUCAGGUAGGACUACCCGCUGAUCUUAAGCAUAUCAAUAAGCGGAGGA
rnacentral:misc_RNA from 1 species